GACGAACGCUGGCGGCGUGCCUAAUACAUGCAAGUAGAACGCACAGUUUAUACCGUAGCUUGCUACACCAUAGACUGUGAGUUGCGAACGGGUGAGUAACGCGUAGGUAACCUGCCUGGUAGCGGGGGAUAACUAUUGGAAACGAUAGCUAAUACCGCAUAAUAUUAAUUAUUGCAUGAUAAUUAAUUGAAAGGUGCAAUUGCACCACUACCAGAUGGACCUGCGUUGUAUUAGCUAGUAGGUGAGGUAACGGCUCACCUAGGCGACGAUACAUAGCCGACCUGAGAGGGUGAUCGGCCACACUGGGACUGAGACACGGCCCAGACUCCUACGGGAGGCAGCAGUAGGGAAUCUUCGGUAAUGGACGAAAGUCUGACCGAGCAACGCCGCGUGAGUGAAGAAGGUUUUCGGAUCGUAAAGCUCUGUUGUAAGAGAAGAACGGGUGUGAGAGUGGAAAGUUCACACUGUGACGGUAUCUUACCAGAAAGGGACGGCUAACUACGUG
rnacentral:rRNA from 1 species